UACUAACUAUUGAAAUCAUGAACAAGACACACAUUACAUUGUUUUUUAUUUUGCUUAUUCUCCUUCCUUCUGAGAUGAUGGCACAAAUAUUAGGAAGUCCAUGCAUCGAUGAAGAAUGCAAAUUGUCUUGUAUUUCUAGAGGUCGUAUAGAUGGUUAUUGCUUAUCUCGUUUCAUCUGCACAUGCGUGACCCGUUACAGUUUUAAUUGAACAUACAACCUUAUUUUAUAUAUAUUAUCUCUAGAAUUUGUUGUUUCUGUUUCUUUGAUUUUGUUAUGGUGUUUAUCUAGACCCUUUAAUUAUAAUCACAUGUCCGUCUCAUUUUAUUUCUAUUAGUCUCAAUAUAUUUUCAAUUAAA